rnacentral:rRNA from 1 species
AAAUCCCAGAGCUCAACUCUGGAACUGCCAUUGAUACUGAAGGUCUUGAAAUUUAGUUGAGGUGGGCGGAAUACGUUAUGUAGCGGUGAAAUGCAUAGAUAUAACGUAGAACACCGAUUGCGAAGGCAGCUCACUAAGCUAACAUUGACGCUGAUGGACGAAAGCGUGGGGAGCGAACAGGAUUAGAUACCCUGGUAGUCCACGCCGUAAACGAUGAUUACUCGUUGUGCACGAUACACUGUGCGUGACUGAGCGAAAGCAUUAAGUAAUCCACCUGGGGAGUACGUUCGCAAGAAUGAAACUCAAAGGAAUUGACGGGGGCCCGCACAAGCGGAGGAACAUGUGGUUUAAUUCGAUGAUACGCGAGGAACCUUACCUGGACUUAAAUGUAGAUUGACCGGUUUAGAAAUAGAUCUUCCCUUCGGGGCAAUUUACAAGGUGCUGCAUGGUUGUCGUCAGCUCGUGCCGUGAGGUGUCGGGUUAAGUCCCAUAACGAGCGCAACCCCUAUCGUUAGUUGCUAGCAGGUAAUGCUGAGGACUCUAGCGAGACUGCCACCGUAAGGUGAGAGGAAGGUGGGGAUGACGUCAAAUCAGCACGGCCCUUACGUCCAGGGCUACACACGUGUUACAAUGGCCAGUACAAAGGGCAGCUACCUGGUGACAGGAUGCUAAUCUCUAAAGCUGGUCUCAGUUCGGAUCGGAGUCUGCAACUCGACUCCGUGAAGUUGGAUUCGCUAGUAAUCGUAGAUCAGCAAUGCUACGGUGAAUACGUUCCCGGGCCUUGUACACACCGCCCGUCAAGCCAUGGAAGCCGAGGGGACCUGAAGUUCGUAACCGCAAGGAGCGACCUAGGGUAAAAUUGGUAACUAGGGCUAA